rnacentral:rRNA from 1 species
UACGUAGGGCGCAAGCGUUGUCCGGAAUUAUUGGGCGUAAAGAGCUCGUAGGCGGUCUGUCGCGUCCGUUGUGAAAACUCGAGGCUCAACCUCGGGCUUGCAGUGGAUACGGGCAGACUAGAGUGCGGUAGGGGAGACUGGAAUUCCUGGUGUAGCGGUGGAAUGCGCAGAUAUCAGGAAGAACACCCGUGGCGAAGGCGGCUCUCUGGAACGGUACUGACGCUGAGACGCGAAAGCGUGGGGAGCGAACAGG